rnacentral:rRNA from 1 species
GUCGAACGCUGGCGGCGUGCUUAACACAUGCAAGUCGAACGAAGUGGCGAACGGGUGAGUAACGCGUAAUCAACCUGCCCUUCAGAGGGGGACAACAGUUGGAAACGACUGUUAAUACCGACUACUGCAGGAGGGGAUUGCGUCUGAGUAGCUAGUUGGAGGGGUAACGGCCCACCAAGGCGAUGCUCAGUAACCGGUCUGAGAGGAUUAACGGCCAAAGUGGGACUGAUACACGGCCCAGACUCCUACGGUAGGCAGCAGGGGGGAAACUUCCGAAAGUGAGGGAAGGCUGACGGAGCAACGCCGGGUGAGUGAGGACGGCCUUCGGGUUGUAAAGGUCGGUUAAGCGUGACGCGGUACCGGAAUAGAAAGCCACGGCUAACUACGUGCCAGCAGCCGCGGUAAUAC